rnacentral:rRNA from 1 species
GGUUAAGUUGUUAAGGGCGCACGGUGGAUGCCUUGGCACUAGGAGCCGAUGAAGGACGGUACUAACACCGAUAUGCUUCGGGGAGCUGUAAGUAAGCUUUGAUCCGGAGAUUUCCGAAUGGGGAAACCCACUGCUCGUAAUGGAGUAGUAUCUUCACCUGAAUUCAUAGGGUGAUGAUGGCAGACCCGGGGAACUGAAACAUCUAAGUACCCGGAGGAAGAGAAAGCAAACGCGAUUUCCCAAGUAGCGGCGAGCGAAACGGAAGAAGCCCAAACCAAGAGGCUUGCCUCUUGGGGUUGUAGGACACUCUAUACGGAGUUACAAAGGAACGGAGUAAAUGAAGAGGUCUGGAAAGGCCCGUCAAAGAAGGUAACAACCCUGUAGUUGAAACUUCGUUCCCUCCAGAGUGGAUCCUGAGUACGGCGGGACACGUGAAAUCCCGUCGGAAGCAGGGAGGACCAUCUCCCAAGGCUAAAUACUCCCUAGUGACCGAUAGUGAACCAGUACCGUGAGGGAAAGGUGAAAAGCACCCCGGAAGGGGAGUGAAAGAGAUCCUGAAACCGUGUGCCUACAAGUAGUCAAAGCCCGUUAAUGGGUAAUGGCGUGCCUUUUGUAGAAUGAACCGGCGAGUUACGAUCCCGUGCAAGGUUAAGUUGAUAAGACGGAGCCGCAGCGAAAGCGAGUCUGAAUAGGGCGAAUAAGUACGUGGUCGUAGACCCGAAACCAGGUGAUCUACCCAUGUCCAGGGUGAAGUUCAGGUAACACUGAAUGGAGGCCCGAACCCACGCACGUUGAAAAGUGCGGGGAUGAGG